CGUAGGUGGCAAGCGUUGUCCGGAUUUAUUGGGUUUAAAGGGUGCGUAGGCGGCCUAUUAAGUCAGUGCUGAAAUAUCCCGGCUUAACCGGGAGGGUGGCAUUGAUACUGAUGGGCUUGAGUGAAGUCGAGGUAGGCGGAAUUGACGGUGUAGCGGUGAAAUGCUUAGAUAUCGUCAAGAACACCGAUAGUGUAGACAGCUUACUAGGCUUAUACUGACGCUGAGGCACGAAAGUGUGGGGAUCGAAACAGGAUUAGAUACCCUGGUAGUCCACACUGUAAACGUUGAUGACUCGCUGUUGGCGAUACACAGUCAGCGGCUGAGAGAAAUCGUUAAGUCAUCCACCUGGGGAUACGCCGGCAACGGUG
rnacentral:rRNA from 1 species